CGGAGGCAGCAGUGAGGAAUAUUGGACAAUGGGGGAAACCCUGAUCCAGCAAUGCCGCGUGUGUGAAGAAGGCCUGCGGGUUGUAAAGCACUUUCAGUAGAGAAGAAAUGCCUGGAGCUAACAUCUCCGGGUCUUGACGUAACCUACAGAAGAAGCACCGGCUAACUCCGUGCCAGCAGCCGCGGUAAUACGGAGGGUGCGAGCGUUAAUCGGAAUUACUGGGCGUAAAGCGCGCGUAGGCGGUUUGGUCAGUCGAUUGUGAAAGCCCUGGGCUUAACCUGGGAAUUGCAGUCGAUACUGCCUGACUAGAAUGUGGAAGAGGGAAGUGGAAUUUCCGGUGUAGCGGUGAAAUGCGUAGAUAUCGGAAGGAACACCAGUGGCGAAGGCGGCUUCCUGGUCCAACAUUGACGCUGAGGUGCGAAAGCGUGGGGAGCGAACAGGAUUAGAUACCCCGGU
rnacentral:rRNA from 1 species